AUUUAAAUAGUUUAAAAAAAAUAUUAAUUUGUGGUAUUAAAGAUUUAUAAUUAAUUUAAAUU
rnacentral:tRNA from 2 species